AUGUUUACUUGUUGUGUACCAGUUUUCAGAGGCUCUAGGCUCAGGAAAGCCCAGAGUGUGAGACUGUUGUGUUGUUGUGGACAUCGGAUCAAGCCUCAUGGCCAAUUUGGCAGGAGGUACCCAAAGAACUCCACGCAGGAGAUCUUUGAAGAGCUACAUGAUGGGUUCGACUUCUCUCCCUCCCUAGUCAAGGGGCAGGAGCAGCAGGCCGCCAGCAGCAUCCUGUGCCGGUCUGAGAACUCCACUCAGGAGAUGUUUGAAGAGUUAUGUGUUGGGUUCGACUUCUCUCCCUCCCUAGUCAAGGGGCAGGAGCAGCAGGCCACCAGCAGCAUCCUGUGCCGGUCUGAGGAACCCACCCUGUCCGUGGCUGAGGCCCGCACGAUGCUGACCCUCAAGGCAGGCGCAGUGCAGAAGGUGGUAGGAUGCCUGCAACCAUCUUUCCAUGGCAGAUCCAUCUCCGUCACCACCUUCCCGUGUGUGUACCAGGCCUUCUACCCGACCCCACAGGUCCUGGACCAGCUGCUCCAGAGUGCCCUCUCUCCCAUCUGGGGCCCCCGGCCUCAGGAGAACUCCCAGGAUAUGUGGCAGAUGCUGCGGCACUCCAGGAUCAACCUGACGUUGGCGUAUCUCCAGGACCUCUUGGCCUGGCUCAGUCCUGAAGCACCAGGCCACCCCUCUUCUCCUCCAGGUGGACCUUUUCCAGGCCACUGAGUUGGAGACAGAGGCUCCUGCCCCAGCUCUAGCACUUCUGCCAGGUGCAGAGGCAGAAAAGGGGUCACAUCUGGAGCUGGACGGAACUCCAGUUCUAUUUCUGCCAUCACUUCUAGCGCUGGAGCCGCCAGCAGCGCCCUCAGCUGCUCCAGACCCCGAGCGAGUGCCAUCAGCAGC
rnacentral:lncRNA from 1 species